GGCGAGAAACUCAGUGGGCUGUUUGUUUUUUCUGCGGAUCGAUUUUAUGUGAGGCACCUGUUUUUUAUUGACGCGUUUCCUUGGUGCUAUUGUGGUUCUUCUACAUGAAUUCGAAUGUCGCAGGACGUGCUGGCUGGGUUAUCUUGUG